AGAGUUUGAUCCUGGCUCAGGAUGAACGCUGGCGGCGUGCCUAACACAUGCAGGUCGAGCGAAGCGCUGUUUUCAGAAUCUUCGGAGGAAGAGGAUAGUGACUGAGCGGCGGACGGGUGAGUAACGCGUGGGCAACCUGCCUCAUACAGGGGGAUAACAGUUAGAAAUGACUGCUAAUACCGCAUAAGCGCACAGGACCGCAUGGUGUAGUGUGAAAAACUCCGGUGGUAUGAGAUGGACCCGCGUCUGAUUAGGUAGUUGGUGGGGUAAAGGCCUACCAAGCCGACGAUCAGUAGCCGACCUGAGAGGGUGACCGGCCACAUUGGGACUGAGACACGGCCCAAACUCCUACGGGAGGCAGCAGUGGGGAAUAUUGCACAAUGGGGGAAACCCUGAUGCAGCGACGCCGCGUGAAGGAAGAAGUAUUUCGGUAUGUAAACUUCUAUCAGCAGGGAAGAAAAUGACGGUACCUGAGUAAGAAGCACCGGCUAAAUACGUGCCAGCAGCCGCGGUAAUACGUAUGGUGCAAGCGUUAUCCGGAUUUACUGGGUGUAAAGGGAGCGUAGACGGAUAGGCAAGUCUGGAGUGAAAACCCAGGGCUCAACCCUGGGACUGCUCUGGAAACUGCAGAUCUGGAGUGCCGGAGAGGUAAGCGGAAUUCCUAGUGUAGCGGUGAAAUGCGUAGAUAUUAGGAGGAACACCAGUGGCGAAGGCGGCUUACUGGACGGUGACUGACGUUGAGGCUCGAAAGCGUGGGGAGCAAACAGGAUUAGAUACCCUGGUAGUCCACGCCGUAAACGAU
rnacentral:rRNA from 1 species